UUUUAGUAUUUACUAUGUCGACAGUGUUAAUCAUACUUAACAUAAGCCUCUUUCUGAGAUUUGAUUGGCCAUCCCCUUUUUAAAAAAGCUUACGCUAUUCUUGUAUAUUUCAGUACAGUGAACACAUAAAAUAUCCGCGACAAAGAACGAACUUAUGAAACCAGACUAAGGCAACAGCUACCCCCCUCGAGAUUGUUCUUCAUCUGCUAGGGGAGACGACUGCAAUGCUGUCAUCCUAGUUUGUGCAUGGAAUAUAGAGAAUGUCGUUAUUGCAGUCAUUAUUGCUGCAACAGUGGCGUUUAUUGUGGCACACACAAGGCUCCACUACGACAAAUAUGGAGGGCAAAACCACAGGAGAGAAUAUGAAGAUGUGAUCAAGUACCCCGUCCAGUGCACCGAAGACCCAUGAUCUUUACUGAACACCGCGGUGUUCAUAAUACACUUUAUUCGUCGUGGCGUGCAAUAUUUUUGCCAUAACAGACAUGUUAUUCUCUUGAGAAUAAAAUUCUGUUUUUAUUGUUUUUACUUAUGCGCAAAAAUAAACAAAGAAAUGAUACUCUAGGGAAUGACACGUGAUCUAAAUUGGAAAAAACAUUGCAUAUAACGACGAAGAAUAAGCUCAAUUUGCUGAAGCAAAAACCGUCUUGAUUGAACAAUUAACUAUUUUGUAACCCAGUCGCACAUCAUGAUAAGAUCAUGAUUAAAUGUGUACAUUUUAUAGUAA